UACGGAAGGCAGCAGUGGGGAAUAUUGCACAAUGGGCGAAAGCCUGAUGCAGCUAUGCCGCGUGUAUGAAGAAGGCCUUAGGGUUGUAAAGUACUUUCAUCGGGGAGGAAAAACAAAACUAAUAAUUUUAUUUCUUGACGUUACCCGAAAAAGAAGCACCGGCUAACUCCGUGCCAGCAGCCGCGGUAAUACGGAGGGUGCUAGCGUUAAUCAGAAUUACUGGGCGUAAAGAGCACGUAGGUGGUUUUUUAAGUUCAGAUGUGAAAUCCCUGGGCUUAACCUAGGAACUGCAUUUUGAAACUGAAAUACUAGAGUAUCGUAGAGGGAGGUAGAAUUCUAGGUGUAGCGGUGAAAUGCGUAGAUAUCUGGAGGAAUACCUGUGGCGAAAGCGGCCUCCUAAACGAAUACUGACACUGAGGUGCGAAAGCGUGGGGAGCAAACAGGGAUUAGAUACC
rnacentral:rRNA from 1 species